ACUCCGUGAUAGCUGGUUCUCCCCGAAAUGCAUUUAGGUGCAGCGUUGCGUGGUCCCUGGUGGAGGUAGAGCUACUGGAUGGCCGAUGGGCCCGAUGGGUUACUGACGUCAGCCAAACUCCGAAUGCCAUUAGGUGUAGCGUGGCAGUGAGACUGCGGGGGAUAAGCUUCGUAGUCGAGAGGGAAACAGCCCAGAUCAUCAGCUAAGGCCCCUAAGCGUACGCUAAGUGGGAAAGGAUGUGGAGUCGCGGUGACAACCAGGAGGUUGGCUUAGAAGCAGCCAUCCUUGAAAGAGUGCGUAAUAGCUCACUGGUCAAGUGGUUCUGCGCCGACAAUGUAGCGGGGCUCAAGCGCACCGCCGAAGCCGUGGCAGCAGCGCUUUUCGCCCUCCUCCCCCCUUCUUGGAUGGGGUGGUGGGUGCGCUGCUGGGUAGGGGAGCGUCCUGCGCGGGGCGAAGCCCGGGGGUGACCCCUGGUGGACCGCGUGGGAGUGAGAAUGCAGGCAUGAGUAACGAAUUCUGCGGUGGGAAUCCGCAGCGCCGAUUGACUAAGGGUUCCAGGGCCAGGUUCAUCCGCCCUGGGUUAGUCGGGUCCUAAGGCGAGGCCGACAGGCGUAGUCGAUGGUCGACCAGUUGAUAUUCUGGUACCGCGCGGCGACCGCCAGUGCCGAUACCGCUGUGCUAACCGCCCGCACCGCCCCUCCUGCGCUUUCGGGCGCGGGGGCGGGCCGUGUCGCGGGGCCCCGGUGGUGGAGGCAAGCGUGUUGACAGGGGUGACGCAGGAAGGUAGCCGCAAUGCGCCGGUGGUUGUGCGUAUUCAAGGCUGUGGCCCGUCCCCCAGGCAAAUCCGGGGGGCAUGUGGGUGAGGGCUGAGGAGGGACACACGCGUGUGUGGACUUGUGGUGAUCCUAUGCUGCCGAGAAAAACCCCGACGUGAGGGCGCCGCGCGCCCGUACCCCAAACCGACUCAGGUGGUCAGGUAGAGCAUACCGAGGCGUUCGAGUGAAUCAUGGUUAAGGAACUCGGCAAAAUUCCUCCGUAACUUCGGGAUAAGGAGGACCCCUUGGCCUGCCCCCGCCGCGCGCGGGGGCGGGGCCGGGGGGUCGCAGAGAAUAGGGAGAAGCGACUGUUUAUCAAAAACACAGGUGCGUGCGAAGCCGUAAGGCGAUGUAUACGCACUGACGCCUGCCCGGUGCUGGAAGGUUAAGAGGAACCGUUAACACCCCCCGGGGUGUGAAGCGGUGAAUUUAAGCCCCAGUAAACGGCGGUGGUAACUAUAACCAUCCUAAGGUAGCGAAAUUCCUUGUCGGGUAAGUUCCGACCUGCACGAAUGGCGUAACGACUUCCCCGCUGUCUCCACCAUGAGCUCGGCGAAAUUGCAGUACGAGUAAAGAUGCUCGUUUCGCGCAGAAGGACGGAAAGACCCCGGGACCUUUACUAUAGCUUGGUAUUGGUGUUCGCUUGGACUUGUGUAGGAUAGGUGGGAGACUGUGAAGCUGCCGCGCCAGCGGUGGUGGAGUCGUCGUUGAAAUACCAUUCUGGUUCAAGCGGUCACCUCAACCUUGGCCCGUGAUCCGGGUUGGGGACAGUGCCUGGUGGGUAGUUUAACUGGGGCGGUUGCCUCCUAAAAUGUAACGGAGGCGCUCAAAGGUUCCCUCAGCCUGGUUGGUAAUCAGGUGGCGAGUGCAAGUGUACAAGGGAGCUUGACUGUGAGACCGACGGGUCGAGCAGGUGCGAAAGCAGGAACUAGUGAUCC
rnacentral:rRNA from 1 species